UCAGUGCCGCAGUUAACGCAUUAAGCAUUCCGCCUGGGGAGUACGACCGCAAGGUUGAAACUCAAAGGAAUUGACGGGGACCCGCACAAGCGGUGGAGCAUGUGGUUUAAUUCGAUGCUACGCGAAGAACCUUACCAGGACUUGACAUCUUCUGUUAACCUAAGAGAUUAGGUGUCCCCUUCGGGGGCAGAAUGACAGGUGGUGCAUGGUUGUCGUCAGCUCGUGUCGUGAGAUGUUGGGUUAAGUCCCGCAACGAGCGCAACCCUUGUCUUUAGUUGCCAGCAUUAAGUUGGGCACUCUAGAGAGACUGCCGGUGAUAAACCGGAGGAAGGUGGGGAUGACGUCAAAUCAUCAUGCCCCUUAUGUCCUGGGCUACACACGUGCUACAAUGGACGGUACAACGAGUCGCGAAACCGCAAGGUCAAGCUAAUCUCUUAAAGCCGUUCUCAGUUCGGAUUGCAGGCUGCAACUCGCCUGCAUGAAGUGGAAUCGCUAGUAAUC
rnacentral:rRNA from 1 species